AUGAGAGAAUGUUAACUCAUUGCAACAACGAACCUGCCAAAAAUAAAGAACUAGAUGACAUAAUCAACACAGCUUUAAACACAGGUAUACCAAAUGCUUUGCAAACAAUAUAUUUCAAGCCAUGUUAAAGCAUACAAUUGCAUACAACAAUCCAUAAUAUGUUCAUAUUUAUUAACUUGCAUACAACAAGUCAAUGACACACAAACAGCUGAAAACUGUAGAGAAGAUUAUGCACACACUAUUCCAGUUCCAUACCAUGUGGCAAGAUUCAACACUCUUAAUAAAUUAGCUAGCCAACAACAUAAAAGAUUAGUAAAAAAAAGGGGAGCCUAUUAUCUUUCAACUACUACAUAAUGAUAAAGACAGACUGAAACAACACCAAAAAAUGGGAUUAUACAAAAUACCAUUGGUUAAUGCCAAAGAAAAUAAGAAU
rnacentral:lncRNA from 1 species